rnacentral:rRNA from 1 species
GACAAACCGGAGGAAGGUGGGGAUGACGUCAAAUCAUCAUGCCCCUUAUGAUUUGGGCUACACACGUGCUACAAUGGACAAUACAAAGGGCAGCUAAACCGCGAGGUCAUGCAAAUCCCAUAAAGUUGUUCUCAGUUCGGAUUGUAGUCUGCAACUUGACUACAUGAAGCUGGAAUCGCUAGUAAUUGUAGAUCAGCAUGCUACGGUGAAUACGUUCCCGGGUCUUGUACACACCGCCCGUCACACCACGAGAGUUUGUAACACCCGAAGCCGGUGGAGUAACCAUUUAUGGAGCUAGCCGUCGAAGGUGGGACAAAUGAUUGGGGUGAAG